GUCGGUUCCCCGCGCGGCGGCAUCUUCCCCAACCCCCCCAGGGUCGGAAGGCAGCAAGGGUAAGGAGGCUCUGCCGGGUGCGCGGGGAACCGCCUGC
rnacentral:SRP_RNA from 1 species